rnacentral:rRNA from 1 species
AGAGUUUGAUCCUGGCUCAGGAUGAACGCUAGCUACAGGCUUAACACAUGCAAGUCGAGGGGCAGCAUGGUCUUAGCUUGCUAAGGCCGAUGGCGACCGGCGCACGGGUGAGUAACACGUAUCCAACCUGCCGUCUACUCUUGGACAGCCUUCUGAAAGGAAGAUUAAUACAAGAUGGCAUCAUGAGUCCGCAUGUUCACAUGAUUAAAGGUAUUCCGGUAGACGAUGGGGAUGCGUUCCAUUAGAUAGUAGGCGGGGUAACGGCCCACCUAGUCUUCGAUGGAUAGGGGUUCUGAGAGGAAGGUCCCCCACAUUGGAACUGAGACACGGUCCAAACUCCUACGGGAGGCAGCAGUGAGGAAUAUUGGUCAAUGGGCGAGAGCCUGAACCAGCCAAGUAGCGUGAAGGAUGACUGCCCUAUGGGUUGUAAACUUCUUUUAUAAAGGAAUAAAGUCGGGUAUGUAUACCCGUUUGCAUGUACUUUAUGAAUAAGGAUCGGCUAACUCCGUGCCAGCAGCCGCGGUAAUACGGAGGAUCCGAGCGUUAUCCGGAUUUAUUGGGUUUAAAGGGAGCGUAGAUGGAUGUUUAAGUCAGUUGUGAAAGUUUGCGGCUCAACCGUAAAAUUGCAGUUGAUACUGGAUAUCUUGAGUGCAGUUGAGGCAGGCGGAAUUCGUGGUGUAGCGGUGAAAUGCUUAGAUAUCACGAAGAACUCCGAUUGCGAAGGCAGCCUGCUAAGCUGCAACUGACAUUGAGGCUCGAAAGUGUGGGUAUCAAACAGGAUUAGAUACCCUGGUAGUCCACACGGUAAACGAUGAAUACUCGCUGUUUGCGAUAUACAGCAAGCGGCCAAGCGAAAGCGUUAAGUAUUCCACCUGGGGAGUACGCCGGCAACGGUGAAACUCAAAGGAAUUGACGGGGGCCCGCACAAGCGGAGGAACAUGUGGUUUAA